UACGAAGGGGGCUAGCGUUGCUCGGAAUCACUGGGCGUAAAGCGCACGUAGGCGGCUUCUUAAGUCAGGGGUGAAAUCCUGGAGCUCAACUCCAGAACUGCCCUUGAUACUGAGGAGCUCGAGUCCGGAAGAGGUGAGUGGAACUCCGAGUGUAGAGGUGAAAUUCGUAGAUAUUCGGAAGAACACCAGUGGCGAAGGCGGCUCACUGGCCCGGUACUGACGCUGAGGCACGAAAGCGUGGGGAGCAAACAGGG
rnacentral:rRNA from 1 species